rnacentral:rRNA from 1 species
UACGUAGGGGGCAAGCGUUGUCCGGAAUCAUUGGGCGUAAAGCGCGCGUAGGCGGCUCCGCAAGUCGGCCGUGAAAUCUCCGGGCUCAACUCGGAGGGGUCGGGCGAGACUGCGGGGCUCGAGGUGGGCAGAGGGCAGUGGAAUUCCGGGUGUAGUGGUGGAAUGCGUAGAGAUCCGGAGGAACACCAGUGGCGAAGGCGGCUGCCUGGGCCUGGCCUGACGCUGAGGCGCGAAAGCGUGGGGAGCGAUCCGG